rnacentral:rRNA from 1 species
CCCUUAGAUGUUCUGGGCCGCACGCGCCCUACACUGAAGGGAUCAGCGUGUUUUCCCUUCCCGAGAGGGACGGGUAACCCGCUGAACCCCCUUCGUGGUAGGGAUCGGAGCUUGCAAUUGUUCUCCGUGAACCAGGAAUUCCCAGUAAGCGCAAGUCAUAAGCUUGCGUUGAUUACGUCCCUGCCCUUUGUACACACCGCCCGUCGCUACUACCGAUUGAACGUUUUAGUGAGGUAUUUGGACUGGGCCUUGGGAGGUUUCGGCCUCCCUUGUUGCUCGGAAAGACUCCCAAACUUGAGCGUUUAGAGGAAGUAAAAGUCGUAACA